rnacentral:rRNA from 1 species
ACCGAUGCAAACUCCGAAUACCUAUGAGUACUAUCCGGGAGACAGACUGCGGGUGCUAACGUCCGUAGUCAAGAGGAAAACAAUCCAGACCGCCAGCUAAGGCCCCAAAAUCAUAGUUAAGUGGGAAACGAUGUGGGAAGGCAUAGACAGCUAGGAGGUUGGCUUAGAAGCAGCCAUCAUUUAAAGAGUGCGUAAUAGCUCACUGGUCGAGUGACGCUGCGCCGAAAAUGUAUCGGGGCUAAACGAUUCACCGAAGCUGUGGAUGCAUACCUAGGGUAUGCGUGGUAGGAGAGCGUUCUAAUUGCGUUGAAGUCAGAUCGUAAGGACUGGUGGAGCGCUUAGAAGUGAGAAUGCCGGUAUGAGUAGCGAAAGAGGUGUGAGAAUCCCAUGCACCGUAUGACUAAGGUUUCCUGAGGAAGGCUCGUCCGCUCAGGGUUAGUCGGGACCUAAGCCGAGGC